CCUACGGGUGGCAGCAGUGAGGAAUAUUGGUCAAUGGACGAGAGUCUGAACCAGCCAAGUAGCGUGAAGGAUGACUGCCCUAUGGGUUGUAAACUUCUUUUAUAUGGGAAUAAAACGUUCCACGUGUGGGAUUUUGUAUGUACCAUAUGAAUAAGGAUCGGCUAACUCCGUGCCAGCAGCCGCGGUAAUACGGAGGAUCCGAGCGUUAUCCGGAUUUAUUGGGUUUAAAGGGAGCGUAGGUGGAUUGUUAAGUCAGUUGUGAAAGUUUGCGGCUCAACCGUAAAAUUGCAGUUGAAACUGGCAGUCUUGAGUACGGUAGAGGUAGGCGGAAUUCGUGGUGUAGCGGUGAAAUGCUUAGAUAUCACGAAGAACUCCGAUUGCGAAGGCAGUUCACUGGACUGCAACUGACACUGAGGCUCGAAAGUGUGGGUAUCAAACAGGAUUAGAUACCCUUGUAGUC
rnacentral:rRNA from 1 species